AACGCACGAGACCUGCGGACCUGCGGAGGGAUCAUUACCGAGUUAUCCAACUCCCAACCCCUGUGAAUUAUACCUUUAAUUGUUGCUUCGGCGGGACUUCGCGCCCGCCGGGGACCCGAACCUUCUGAAUUUUUAAUAAGUAUCUUCUGAGUGGUUAAAAAAAAAUGAAUCAAAACUUUUAGCAACGGAUCUCU
rnacentral:misc_RNA from 1 species